UAGAGGGAAUUCCCAGUGUAGCGGUGAAAUGCGUAGAUAUUGGGAAGAACACCAGUGGCGAAGGCGCUCUACUGGGCCGCAACUGACGCUGAGGGACGAAAGCUAGGGGAGCGAAAGGGAUUAGAUACCCCUGUAGUCCUAGCCGUAAACGAUGGACACUAGGUGUUGGGUGUAUCGACCCAUCCAGUACCGUAGCCAACGCGUUAAGUGUCCCGCCUGGGGAGUACGCACGCAAGUGUGAAACUCAAAGGAAUUGACGGGGGCCCGCACAAGCGGUGGAGUAUGUGGUUUAAUUCGAUGCAACGCGAAGAACCUUACCAGGGCUUGACAUCCCGCGAAUCUUUCAGAAAUGAGAGAGUGCCUUCGGGAGCGCGGAGACAGGUGGUGCAUGGCUGUCGUCAGCUCGUGUCGUGAGAUGUUGGGUUAAGUCCCGCAACGAGCGCAACCCUCGUCCUUAGUUGCCAUCAUUAAGUUGGGCACUCUGGGGAGACUGCCGGGGACAACUCGGAGGAAGGUGGGGAUGACGUCAAGUCAUCAUGCCCCUUACGUUCUGGGCUACACACGUACUACAAUGCUUCGGACAGAGGGCAGCGAGCGUGCGAGCGCAAGCUAAUCCCAUAAACCGAGGCACAGUUCAGAUUGCAGGCUGCAACUCGCCUGCAUGAAGGCGGAAUCGCUAGUAAUCGCAGGUCAGCAUACUGCGGUGAAUACGUUCCCGGGCCUUGUACACACCGCCCGUCACACCAUGGGAGUUGGCCACGCCCGAAGUCGUUACUCUAACCCAAUGGGAGGAGGGUGCCGAAGGUGGGGCUGAUGACUGGGGUGAAGUCGUAACAAGGUAGCCGUACCGGAAGGUGUGGCUGGAUCACCU
rnacentral:rRNA from 1 species